rnacentral:tRNA from 1 species
GCCCUGGUGGUGAAAUCGGUAGACACAAGGGAUUUAAAAUCCCUCGACUUUCGAGUCAUGCCGGUUCAAGUCCGGCCCGGGGCACCA